rnacentral:rRNA from 1 species
CCUACGGGGGGCAGCAGUGGGGAAUAUUGGACAAUGGGGGGCAACCCUGAUCCAGCCAUGCCGCGUGUGUGAAGAAGGCCCUCGGGUUGUAAAGCACUUUCAGUGAGGAAGAACGCCUGGUGGUUAAUACCCAUCAGGAAAGACAUCACUCACAGAAGAAGCACCGGCUAACUCCGUGCCAGCAGCCGCGGUAAUACGGAGGGUGCGAGCGUUAAUCGGAAUUACUGGGCGUAAAGCGCGCGUAGGUGGCUUGAUAAGCCGGUUGUGAAAGCCCCGGGCUCAACCUGGGAACGGCAUCCGGAACUGUCAAGCUAGAGUGCAGGAGAGGAAGGUAGAAUUCCCGGUGUAGCGGUGAAAUGCGUAGAGAUCGGGAGGAAUACCAGUGGCGAAGGCGGCCUUCUGGACUGACACUGACACUGAGGUGCGAAAGCGUGGGUAGCAAACAGGAUUAGAUACCCUUGUAGUC